GUUUGAUCAUGGCUCAGAGUGAACGCUGGCGGCAGGCCUAAUACAUGCAAGUCGAACGGCAGCACGGCAGAGCUUGCUCUGUGGGUGGCGAGUGGCGGACGGGUGAGGAAUACAUGGGAAUCUGCCCAGUCGUGGGGGAUAACGUAGGGAAACUUACGCUAAUACCGCAUGCGCCCUUCGGGGGAAAGCCGGGGACCUUCGGGCCUGGCGCGAUUGGAUGAGCCCAUGUCGGAUUAGCUAGUUGGCGGGGUAAUGGCCCACCAAGGCGACGAUCCGUAGCUGGUCUGAGAGGAUGAUCAGCCACACUGGAACUGAGACACGGUCCAGACUCCUACGGGAGGCAGCAGUAGGGAAUAUUGGACAAUGGGCGCAAGCCUGAUCCAGCCAUGCCGCGUGAGUGAAGAAGGCCCUCGGGUUGUAAAGCUCUUUUGUCCGGAAAGAAAAGCGCCGGGUUAAUACCCUGGUGUCCUGACGGUACCGGAAGAAUAAGCACCGGCUAACUUCGUG
rnacentral:rRNA from 1 species